rnacentral:rRNA from 1 species
AAGCGUGCGCAGGCGGUUAUGUAAGACAGAUGUGAAAUCCCCCGGGCUCAACCUGGGAACUGCAUUUGUGACUGCAUGGCUAGAGUACGGUAGAGGGGGAUGGAAUUCCGCGUGUAGCAGUGAAAUGCGUAGAUAUGCGGAGGAACACCGAUGGCGAAGGCAAUCCCCUGGACCUGUACUGACGCUCAUGCACGAAAGCGUGGGGAGCAAACAGGAUUAGAUACCCGAGU